GGAGAGGUGGCAGAGUGGUUGAAUGCACCGCACUCGAAAUGCGGCAUAGGGGCAACCCUAUCGGGAGUUCGAAUCUCCCCCUCUCCG
rnacentral:tRNA from 1 species